rnacentral:rRNA from 1 species
UACAGAGGGUGCGAGCGUUGUUCGGAAUUAUUGGGCGUAAAGGGCGCGUAGGCGGUGCGGUAAGUCACCUGUGAAAUCUCCUGGCUUAACUGGGAGUCUGCAGGCGAAACUGCCGUGCUGGAGUGUGGGAGAGGUGCGUGGAAUUCCCGGUGUAGCGGUGAGAUGCGUAGAUAUCGGGAGGAACACCUGUGGCGAAAGCGGCGCACUGGACCAUAACUGACGCUGAGGCGCGAAAGCUAGGGGAGCAAACAGG